rnacentral:lncRNA from 1 species
GUGGCUUUUAUAUACGACUGUAAUGCAAUGAAAUAGAAGAAAAGUUACUGUGGGAUCCUGCUGUGCGGCCAUAGGUCUUUUCAUAAUUAAUUACUUACAAGACGAUUCACAAUUUCUAAUGUGAAGGAAAUGCAUGUUCCCACCUCCAUAUCCUUGUGUUGUUUUUCUAAUUAAAAUUUAACAAUAUAUCAACAUUUCUACCAUGUAUAUAUACACUUUAAUUCUA